UCGUAGCCCUUGCAGGCGUCUCUGGUAGCGUCUCUCGGCGGUGGUCGCGUGCCGUCACAGAGGCCUCAUCGCAUGCACACGCAGCUGUAACUUAAUUUCAUUAACCCCCCCCCCCUCGUUCCCCCCACCUGGCUGGGAGUGGCGGUGAGGUCGCGAGGUCGCCCAAAUGAAAGAAAGCGACUUCAUUGUGCGAUGACUGGCUCAUAAAUCAUCGGCCGUUCUCUAUAAAUCACGGCAGAUGGCGGCCGGCGGGCCGGGGCUCCUGGGAGCUGGCUGUGUGCCCCUGUGCAUGAUGGGAAGGGGCGGGCUCAGCCGGCAGAGGCGCCAGGGUCAGUUCCCCCGUUUACCCUGGGAGGCGGAGUCAGAGGACUCACCUGACCCGCCUGCUUAAUAUGGAGACGACCUCGUCCCACUGCGGAGCUCCACCCGUCAGUUGACUCCACCCGCCUGAUAUUCAUGAUGAGUAUUAAUCAGGACGGGACGAGGAGGAGUACUGGUAGUACUGGUAGCAGUAGUGGUGGUAGUACUGGUAGCAGUAGUGGUGGUAGUACUGGUAGUACUGGUAGUACUGGUAGCAGUAGUGGUGGUAGUACUGGUAGUACUGGUAGCAGUAGUACUGGUAGUACUGGUAGUACUGGUAGCAGUAGCGGUGGUAGUAUGGUAGUACUGGUAGCAGUAGUGGUGGUAGUACUGGUAGUACUGGUAGUACUGGUAGCAGUAGUACUGGUAGUACUGGUAGCAGUAGUGGUGGUUACAGUAGUGGUGGUAGUACUGGUAGUACUGGUAGCAGUAGCGGUGGUAGUACUGGUAGUACUGGUAGUACUGGUAGUACUGGUAGCAGUAGCGGUGGUAGUACUGGUAGUACUGGUAGUACUGGUAGCAGUAGUGGUGGUAGUACUGGUAGUACUGGUAGCAGUAGCGGUGGUAGUACUGGUAGUACUGGUAGUACUGGUAGCAGUAGUGGUGGUAGUACUGGUAGUACUGGUAGCAGUAGCGGUGGUAGUACUGGUAGUACUGGUAGCAGUAGCGGUGGUAGUACUGGUAGUACUGGUAGUACUGGUAGCAGUAGUGGUGGUAGUACUGGUAGUACUGGUAGCAGUAGUACUGGUAGUACUGGUAGCAGUAGCGGUGGAUUAUGAUCAGUGUGCACGUUGAAUAUAACACUACGUUCUCUGUGUUUUGCUGCAGCAGCGAGUUGCUUUUCCGUCUCAUUGCGGCUUCAUACUCGUCGCUUGCGUUAAUAUGUGCAGCUCGAUAGGGGUGAAUAUACAGUUUGUGGUUGUCAUGGUAACUCGUAGUAUCGUGGCUCCGUUCAUGCUGCCUUCAUACUGUGAGUAUCUGAGUCAACCGACUCUAAACAGCUGGGUUUCACACCUCAGGUGUGAAUGAAGUUAAACCUCUACUAUAAUACUUGAAACGGAGCCUGGGGAUUGAUUUAUAGUCUCUAGCUUGUCCACGUCAUCAGAAGCAACACCACCAAGCAGCAUGUCGCCUGUAAAAACAUUCGGUUCAUCGACGACAUGGAGACAUUUCACAUCGGUGGCUGUUUUAGAGCUCAUGAGUUUUUCCUCUGCUAUGCUGCUCCUGAGCUUCUUAAACAACGUGUGUGCUGAUGUUCCUCUGGUCUCCAGCAGAGAGAGCUUCAGAGCUUCAGACUGUUUCAGGUUGCUCUGAAUGAAAUCAGAAUUACUGGUCAUCUUAUUUUGGCGGUGACUUCCUGUCUCUCGGGCUUGAACUUGGUGACGUUUAAAGUUUGAUCGAUUUGGUUUCUGAUGUUUCUUCAGCAGCUCGAUGAGUAAAACGUCCAGUUGAUUGAACCUCAUUAAAUAUGGAUCAUUGUUGUCGUUGAGACGAUUUCAAUGAAUUAGUAAAAAGUCAUUCCUGUAAACACAUGAAGUUUCACUGGAAUAUAACGUUUGCAUCGUUCUACAUAAAUAAUCUGAAUGCGUUUGAUGUUUUUCUCUCCCGUCGAGGUCAAACAAUCAGUUUUCUUCAUGAGAAACUUUUUGAGUCAAACAGCAUUUUGAAGGAAGUUCUGCAGAUUAACGUCACAGAAUAACGAAAGAUAAAUUAUUCAUAAAUAUGUCAAGCAGAGACAGCGGAGAGCUCCUCCGUCAUGUGACGGUGUCGUCCUCUCUGCGGGCGGGCACGUGCAAGGGCACGGGCGACUUUUCAAGGUGGACUCUGGCUCUAACAAGCCCCCCUCUGCCACUGACGCAGAUUAUGCUGUGAUAAUUUAAUCAAUCGCCAGCUUGAUCCUUUCAUUACA
ensembl:lncRNA